AGAGUUUGAUCCUGGCUCAGAAUCAACGCUGGCGGCGUGCCUAACACAUGCAAGUCGAACGAGAAAGUGGAGCAAUCCAUGAGUAAAGUGGCGCACGGGUGAGUAACACGUGACUAACCUACCCUUGAGUGGGGGAUAACUGAGGGAAACCUUAGCUAAUACCGCAUAAUACCCACGGGUCAAAGGAGCAAUUCGCUCGAGGAGGGGGUCGCGGCCGAUUAGUUAGUUGGCGGGGUAAUGGCCCACCAAGACGAUGAUCGGUAUCCGGCCUGAGAGGGCGCACGGACACACUGGAACUGAAACACGGUCCAGACUCCUACGGGAGGCAGCAGUGGGGAAUUUUGCGCAAUGGGGGAAACCCUGACGCAGCAACGCCGCGUGGAGGAUGAAGUCCUUCGGGACGUAAACUCCUUUCGAUCGGGACGAUUAUGACGGUACCGGAAGAAGAAGCCCCGGCUAACUUCGCGCCAGCAGCCGCGGUAAUACGAGGGGGGCGAGCGUUGUUCGGAAUUAUUGGGCGUAAAGGGUGCGUAGGCGGUUUGGUAAGUCUGAUGUGAAAUCUAUGGGCUCAACUCAUAGUCUGCAUCGGAAACUGCCGGGCUGGAGUGU
rnacentral:rRNA from 1 species